CUGUCAUCUGAUCGGGGUGCCUGCCUGGCACAAAGGCCCAUCAGACGGCCCGGAAGGGCUCAGAGCCGGGAGGACCUGCUGCCCGCGGUGCCCGGGGCUGUGGGGCCCACAAAGCCACGUCUCAGGGGACAGGCCUGACCAGGAGUCCCUGAAAGGCUUCCAGUGUCCCUGAAAAGAUGAGGACAACCACGGUGGACUGCUGUUGCUCGCAGCCAGGGGCCCAGAACCCCGGAAAGUGACAUCUGCCCUCGGGCCCCGAAGCCCGCUGGUCUCAGGCAUCUACCUUCUGAGCCACUGGCGUGGUCGUAUUUUGUGGAUGGUCUGAAAGGGGCUGCGGUUCCCGUUUCCUUUUAGGACUGGCUGCUGCGGGUCUCGGGGACAACUUGGGGCAGUGCCUGGAGCAGGCGGUUAGGGCGAUGGGCCACGCGCAGUUGAGCCCCACGUUCUCCGAUCGGGUGC